UACGUAGGGUGCGAGCGUUAAUCGGAAUUACUGGGCGUAAAGCGUGCGUAGGCGGUUCGUUAAGUUCGUUGUGAAAGCCCCGGGCUCAACCUGGGAAUGGCAAUGGAAACUGGCGGGCUGGAGUAUGGCAGAGGGGGGUGGAAUUCCGCGUGUAGCAGUGAAAUGCGUAGAGAUGCGGAGGAACACCGAUGGCGAAGGCAGCCUCCUGGGCCAAUACUGACGCUCAGGCACGAAAGCGUGGGGAGCAAACAGG
rnacentral:rRNA from 1 species